ensembl:lncRNA
ACAUGAAUUAACCAUAGCUAUACAUUUGUCUCCUUCCUCUUGAAUCUCCCUCCCACCUCCUGCCUAUUCCCACUACUCUAGGUUAUUACAGAGUCCUAGUUUGAGUUCUCCAAGUCAUACAGAAAAUUCCCGUUGACUAUCUAUUUACGUAUGUAGUCAUGAACAGAGGAGCUUGGCAGGCUAUGGUCCAUAGGGUUGAAAAGAGUCAGACACAACUGAAGCAGCUUAGCACAGCACAUGGUUAAAAUGGUCCUUUAAAAAAUAAUCAUGGAGUUUCAGCAGAAGUAAUACACUAAUACAGUAGGUUUCAGAUACCCCACGUUAAAAAGUGAGAUGUGAACCACCUGUGCAGAAUGCAUGACCUGAUACAGAAACGGGUCAGCGUGACCACACCUGGUGAGCAUUGGAGAGAUGAGAACAUUGAAAAGGUGAGUUGCUUCUCACCUACUAAAGUGAGACAAGGAAUUUCAGAAGAUCUUCUUGGAGGACUUGAUAUUUAUCCCCUGGAGUCUGCUGAACUCAGAGUGGAGGCCUGUUUCUUUCCAGGAGAAAUCCUGAGGAAAAAAAAAAAAAGAAAGAAACCAGUUCUUGGAAUCCAGCCACCACGCUGAGAGGAAGCCUGAGCAGCCGUGUGGAGAGGAACUAAGGUCCCUGACUGAGAGCCCUGGGCAAGCUCCCAGCCUGAAGCCAGCGUUAGUUGACCAGCUGUUAGUGAGUCACCUGGGAAGUGAAUACCACCAGUCCACUGAUGCCGUGUGGAGCAUAGGUGACCCCUUGGCUGCAACCGCCUGCUCACCUCUCCACAUCCUGUUAGCCCUUGGUCAUCUUCCAAAACUCAACGGUGACAUCUUUUCUCCGGAAAGCAUACUCGAAAAUCCAAUGUGAAGUAAUCCUCUUUUAUGCUCCAUCACAUCCUGUGCAAACCUCUAUAUAUUGAAAUUUUAUUGACAGUUUUGUGUCUCUAUUUCACUAGGCUAUAAAGUUUUUUGAGAAAAGGACUAUUUUGUAUUCAUCUUAGUUCCCUCAACAUGAAGCCCAGUGCCUUCCAUUUGGUAAAUGAUUUAAAAUGCUCAUUAAAUUGUUUUUGGGUUAAACUGAUACACUUAACAGUUUUAUGUAAGAUUUCCUUUGGCUGAAAGUUUUAGGUAAUUGGCCAGGUUAUGGAAAAAACUGUGGAAGGAUUCUUAAUUUAGAUACUCUCUGUGUCACUUAUAGGUUGGAAGCAGGUUUUAGGAGCAAAUGGUGUGUUAAGGUCCAAAGGGACAGAUAGACCAAUGGUUCAGCUUAGUUUUUAGGAUACUGGCUAGAAGUUUCUGGGAACUGCUAGCAUUGCCAGAUUUAUAGGAUUGUUGUUAUCAUGUAGUAACAUGUACUAUGAAUGCAUUUUGAUAAUUAGAAAUAUAGAUACCUUUAUGUGUAAAUUAUCAGUAAUAAUUAAUGCUCAUCAGAUUAAGAAAUUCACUGCCUAUGAGGCCCUUCCAAUUCUAGACCUCACCCCUAUAAACAAAUUAGAAUAAAAUUUUUUUUAACUUUCCCAUACCUGACAAAUUAGACUGUUACUUGGUCGUGUUGGUUGUCUGUAACUGCAAAAACUGAACCCAUCAUCUGACCAUCUGAAUUGCUUUUGAAAAAAGCCCAAACACUUUGCAUUAACAUGCUCUCUUGGUCAUUUUAGUCAAUUUCCUGAGAGUCUAAGAAUCCAAAGAAAGAAACGAAAAAGUCAUUUCUCUGAAGAAACACGAGGUUAACAUGAAAUGCACAAUACUUCAAUUGUCUCUUCUCUCUGCUAAAUACGUCAUCCUGAAUGGAUCCAUUGGCUGUGAGGAGGUGUAUGCACAUUACAAAUCUUUUUUUUUUUUUUAAUGUAAUUUAAUACUCUCCACGGAUCCAUUUUUCUGAAAUGGGGUAAUAUGCUUCUUUUUAGGCAAAUGUGUUUGCUCUUCUGAUUUUCCAUUCAUUUGGUGGGUUUUGGCACCAAAAUUCUGAGCAGCUGGACCUCUAAUUUAAGGAACCUAUAAUGCACACAUUCCUGGAAAUGAAGCAUUUUGUGUUUAGAAAGAAGUGGAUUUAUUUGACAUUCAAGAGUUUCUGGUUUGUUUAGAGAGACUGACGUAAGGACACCAAGAAGGAACAAAUCAUAAAGUUUAGGGAUAAAAAGGAUUUUAUAGCUUAAGGAUACCUGCAGUAUAUUAUCUUGUCCCAUUUUUAAUUCACUAAUUCAAGAAAUACUAGAUGAAUACCUGCUAUUUGCCAGGCAUACUACUAGAU